GCCCGGGUGGUGGAAUUGGUAGACACAAGGGACUUAAAAUCCCUCAGUUUUAUACUGUACGAGUUCAAGUCUCGUCCCGGGUA
rnacentral:tRNA from 1 species